GCCCCGUUCGUCUAGUGGCCCAGGACGCCGGGUUCUCAGUCCGGUAACAGGGGUUCGACUCCCCUACGGGGUA
rnacentral:tRNA from 2 species